UACGUAGGGUGCGAGCGUUAAUCGGAAUUACUGGGCGUAAAGCGUGCGCAGGCGGUUCGUUAAGUUCGAUGUGAAAGCCCCGGGCUCAACCUGGGAAUGGCGAUGGAAACUGGGCAGCUAGAGUGUGUCAGAGGAUGGUGGAAUUCCCGGUGUAGCGGUGAAAUGCGCAGAUAUCAGGAGGAACACCGGUGGCGAAGGCGGUUCUCUGGGCAUUACCUGACGCUGAGGAGCGAAAGUGUGGGGAGCGAACAGG
rnacentral:rRNA from 1 species